CUCAUCUCAUCUCAUCUCCGAAAACAAAUGACGCCCAACCCUUGCCCUGCACUCGCCACCCCUGCCAGUUUCUUCAAUGUGUAAGGAUAUUAGAAAAUUGUGAAUGGAUCUGUUGAUUCUGUUUCAGUUUGUUUGUGGAUCUGUUUGUAUGGAUUUGUUUGUGAUUCUGUUUGGGUCUGGAAUUUUCAAAAAAAUCAAAUUUAAAAACGAAUUAUAUGCCUGUUUAGCCACUUCAGUAUCUGGCAAAAUGAUUGCAUAAAAACAAAAACAAAAACUUAUCAUUGUCAUUGGUUGCAACAUUGGUACAAGUCGGAGUCGGAGUAGAGUCUAUAGAAGUUGGAGUCAAAGGUCGGAUUAGACCUCUUACAAAGCUGGAGUUGGAGGAUGGCAAUAUCAACUCCGAAAAGUUGGUGCUAGGGCUGAGUACUAACCAAAGCCGAGUCGGUAUGGCCAUCCUCCGACUUUGACUGUUGCAUAUUCAUCCUCCGCCUUGACUCCGACUUGUCGGAGCUUAGGCGGAGGCCUGCUUCCUUUCCAUUAAUGUUACAUCCUUGUACUUGCAUUUAUGCCUGCACUAUUCUCACAAUGUUAACUCAUACAACCUUCAUGGAGUUGUUGAGCAGUAUAUUCUCAGACUUCUAUUCCCCCGUCUCAGUGAGGAAAAGUUGAUUUUGAAAGGGGGGAAUUUUUGAAUCGUAGGCUCUCUCAUCUGUGCAACGAAAUGACUGAAUUAGAAGCUUUAAAUUGUAGGUAAGUUUUUCAUGGCUGAGGGUAACAGAGAAUGAAGCCAGUUAAAAGAAUUGUGUCUUGAGUCUCAUACGUACCUUAUGUUAUUGUGCCGAACUGCAAGUUGGGACGCAUAAAGAAUUCCAUUGAUUUGGCUCUUAAAACUUUCAUUUUCGUCAUUUUUGUUGCGUUGUGCAAAACAUGCCUCUCUCUAAUUUCUUGUUUUUUUUACAAGUAAUGCGAACUUAAAUGAGACAAAAGAGGGGUUGAACUCCAAUAUACAGGUAGUAUUCAAGAGAUCCACCAAACUAGCAAAAGGUAAAAGUGCUUAAAACUUGAAUUUUGCUUAGAGCUAUGUUUGGAUAUGGGAGACUAUAGAUAUUUUGCAGGAGGUCCAGUUUAUUUGUUUGUUGUUGUUCAUCGAAAAAGCACUUAUCCCUGUCUUUUGCACUUCCUAUAUACUUGUAAAAGCAACCUGUACACUUAGCUAGAAUGGCAGUCACAUUCUAUGAUGUCAACUCACCCUCUGGCCUGAAGAAACUUGAUGAUUACCUUCUUACUCGUAGUUACGUUACAGGCUAUCAAGCUUCCAAGGACGAUCUUAUUGUGUAUGGAGCUAUUUUCAAGGCUCCAUCAGCUGAAUACGUUAACGUGUCUCGGUGGUUCAAUCACAUUGAUGCACUCUGAGGAUCUCUGGUGUUUCUGGAGAAGGAUGUGGUGUCACUAUUGAGGGAUCUGCUUCCAUCACAGAGGAGGCAAUUGCAACCCCCUUCAGUUGCUGACGCUAAGGCA